rnacentral:rRNA from 1 species
GUGAGGAAUUUUCCGCAAUGGGCGAAAGCCUGACGGAGCAAUGCCGCGUGAAGGAUGAAGGCCUAUGGGUUGUAAACUUCUUUUCUCAGAAAAGAAUUAUGACGGUAUCUGAGGAAUAAGCAUCGGCUAACUCUGUGCCAGCAGCCGCGGUAAGACAGAGGAUGCAAGCGUUAUCCGGAAUGAUUGGGCGUAAAGCGUCUGUAGGUUGUUUAAAAAGUAUUCUGUCAAAGAUUAGGGCUUAACCCUAGAUAGGCAGAAUAAACUUUUAAGCUAGAGGUUGGUAGAGGCAGAGGGAAUUCCCGGUGGAGCGGUGAAAUGCGUAGAUAUCGGGAGGAACACCAAAGGCGAAGGCACUCUGCUGGGCCAAUACUAACACUGAGAGACGAAAGCGAGGGGAGCAAAUGGGAUUAGAAACCCGGGUAGUCC